UUAAAUGGUAAAAAGAAGAUAGCGGAAGCUAAGUCUAUGUUUAGCUAACGGCGGAUGCGGAAAAAUGAGACAGAAAAAGGUACGCCAAGCUGAAAUGAAUGGAGGAUUAUCGGCAGGACAAAUGCUAAUUUCUCUAGUGUUAGAAAAAUUCAUUAGCCAGAGGGUGUGUUUUGGCUUGCUCAACAGAGAGAGCUAAAAAAAACUCGGUCCAGAGCUGAUUGCGA
rnacentral:lncRNA from 1 species